AUGCUGGCUUAGGCAGCACAUAUACUAAAAUGAGAACAAUACAGAGAAGAUUGGCAUGGCACUUCUAUAAGGAGAACACUCAGAUUUGUGAAGCAUUCCAUAUUUUU